CCAACCUAUUAGACUCAACAGAAAGCAAUUGAAGAAUAGGAAAUUCAAUAUACAAAACUAGAAAAGUUUAAAGUUUUUCUUCCGCUUAAAUGGAGCCUUUGCAUUAGCAGAACCAAGGGACUUUAGCAAUAGGCAAGUACACAAAAAUAGAGGUCAUGGCUUGCAGUCUAUGGCAAUAUAACAAAACCAGAUAGAAAUCUAUCUGAGGCCAGAAAAUGUGUGCCUGAACAAAAAGACAUGAAGAUCAGUAGCUAAUUGUCAAAUCAAAGUUGCCAAUCUAUUGGAGGAAUUCCCAUUUUCUCCAAAAGCUUGUUCGUCUGAGAAAAAUGCCUGCAACCAAAGAAGCCUUUGUUUGCAGAUAAACCAGAAGGAUGUGCUGCCUUCAGAAUGUAAUGUUUUGUCCCGUCAAUUAACCUGGAUUUCUCUUGGGCAAAGUUUCCCCACAGGAGAAAAACAACCCCUUCCUUCUUCUGUGAAAUUGUUUUGAUAACAGAAUCCGUAAAUUGUUCCCAUCCUUUUUUAGCAUGGGAGUUUGCUUGACGACUCCUAACUGUAAGAACAGUAUUGAGCAACAGAACGCCCUGAAUGGCCCAAGGUUCUAGAUUUCCAUGAGAUGGAAUUGAACAGCCAAGAUCUUUCUCAAGUUCCUUAAAUAUGUUAACAAGACUUGAAGGAGCCUUGACUCCCUCAGGAACAGAGAAGGAAAGGCCCAUUGCUUGACCAGGGCCAUGAUAAGGAUCCUGCCCAAUGAUAACAGCCUUGACUUUAUCAAAUGGGGUGGAAUUAAAAGCAUUGAAAAUCAUGUGUUGAGGCGGAUAUAUGGGUACACUGCCAUUACAAAUCUCAUUCUCUAGAAAUUUGCAGAGAGUUCUAGCAUAAGGCUUCUGCAAUUCCCCAGGAAGAGCUUCCAACCAGGUCUCCUCCACCAACAGCUCCUCCAAUUUCACAAAGCCCACACCUUCAGUUUUGGACUUGGAAACUAAUUGGGAACAGAGAUUGAGAUUUCGCUUAGACUUAGCACGGAGUUUGUUGAACUCAAUGCGAGAUCUCUGGUGGGUAGUGAGGUCGGAGGAAGAAGAAUCGGAAAUCGAUUUGGAGGCAGUUGUGGAAAAGUGAAGAUUUAGGGGUUUUGAAUGAUCGGAAGGAGAGGAUAGCUUUAUGCGCUUGGCGGGUUGUAAGAAAUCUCUUAGCGUCUUGCUAGAAGCCAUGAUUUCUUCUCAGAGGGGUUUUGGAGGGAAUUUGCCAAUUCUUAUGCCAUCUUUCCAAAAAUGUGGAUAAU
rnacentral:misc_RNA from 1 species